GUGCUCGCUUCACCAGCACAUAUUCCAAAAUUGGAACAAUACACAGAAGAUUAGCAUGGCCCCAUACAAGGAUGACAGGCAAAUUCAUGAAACGUUCCCAAAUUUG